rnacentral:rRNA from 1 species
UACGGGGGGGGCAAGCGUUGUUCGGAAUUACUGGGCGUAAAGGGCUCGUAGGUGGCCAACUAAGUCACACGUGAAAUCCCUCGGCUUAACCGGGGAACUGCGUGUGAUACUGGAUGGCUUGAGUUUGGGAGAGGGAUGCGGAAUUCCAGGUGUAGCGGUGAAAUGCGUAGAUAUGACCCGGAACACCUAUUGCGAAGGCAGCAGGCUAAACAAAUAUUGACGCUGAGGCUCGAAAGCGUGGGGAUCAAACAGG